rnacentral:rRNA from 1 species
UACGUAGGUGGCAAGCGUUGUCCGGAUUUAUCGGGUUUAAAGGGUGCGUAGGCGGCCCUGUAAGUCAGUGCUGAAAUAUCCCAGCUUAACUGGGAGGGUGGCAUUGAUACUGCGGGGCUAGAGUACAGAUGAGGUAGGCGGAAUUGACGGUGUAGCGGUGAAAUGCUUAGAUAUCGUCAAGAACACCUAUAGCGAAGGCAGCUUACUAGGCUGUAACUGACGCUGAGGCACGAAAGUGUGGGGAUCAAACAGG